rnacentral:rRNA from 1 species
AUGCUCAUGCUGAAAAGUCUAACAAUCCGCACCACCACGCCCCCGCGACAACAGUUUGCCAUGGCGUCGCUCCAAGCUCCCGAGCUCUUGGCAUGUCUCCUCGUCGUCGUCGCCACCCUCCUCCUCCUCCUCAAGCAACUGCUCGCGCCGAGCAAGAGACGCUCCGCCUCGGCCUCGGCCUCACCCUCCCUCCCGCGCCCGAGGGGCCUGCCCCUCAUCGGCAACCUCCACCAGCUCGGCGCGCUCCCGCACGACUCCCUCGCCGCGCUCGCCGUCAAGCACGACGCGCCUCUCAUGCUGCUCCGCCUCGGCUCCGUGCCGACGCUCGUCGUCUCCUCCGCCGACGCGGCACGCGCCGCGUUCCAGCACAACGACCGCGCCAUGUCCGGCCGCCCGGCGCUCUACGCGGCCGCCAGGUUCUCCUACGGCCUGCAGAACAUCUCCUUCGCGCCGUCGGAAGGCGCCUUCUGGCGCGCCGCGCGCCGCGCGUGCCUGUCCGAGCUCCUCGGCGCCCCGCGGGUGCGCGGGUUCCGCGAGGCCAGGGAGGGCGAGGCCGCCGCGCUCGUCGCCGCCGUGGCCGACGCGUCCGGCGCCGGCGGUGCCGUGGACCUGAGCGGGCUUCUCCUCGCCGCGAGCAACAAGAUCGUGCGACGUGUCGCCUUCGGCGGCGACGACGGCGGCGAAGGUGGCGCGGAGGCGAGUGCUGUCCUCAAGGAGACGCAGAGGCUUCUUGGUGCUUUCUGGGUCGCCGACUACGUGCCGUGGCUCGGGUGGCUGGACGCGCCGCGUGGCCUGCGGGGGCGUCUGGAGCGGAACUUCCACCAGCUCGACGCGUUCUACGAGAGCGUGAUCGACAGUCACCUCAAACGGCGAGCAUCCUCCUCCGCCGACGAGGAGGAGGACUUGGUCGACGUGCUCCUCCGCCUGCACGCCGACCCGGCUCACCGGAGCACGUUCAGCAGUCGCGACCAGAUCAAAGGCAUCCUCACGGACAUGUUCAUUGCCGGGACCGACACGUCGGCGGCGACGGUGGAAUGGACGAUGACGGAGCUGGUCAACCACCCGGGCAUCCUCGCCAAGGCGCAGGACGAGGUGCGCAGCGUGGUCGGCGACAGCGGCAUGGUCCGGGAGCCCGACCUCCCGGGGCUCAGCUACCUGAAGCUGGUCAUCAAGGAGUCCAUGAGGCUGCACCCGCCGGUGCCGCUCCUGGUGCCCCGGGAGACCACCGAGCCAUGCACGAUCCACGGCUGCGAGAUACCGGCCGGGACGCGGGUGCUCGUCAACGCGAAGGCCAUCGGCGCGCACGCCGGCGCGUGGGGCGCCGACGCGGCGCAGUUCGUCCCCGAGCGGCAUGAGCGCGGCGGGGACCUCGGCGACUCCAAGCCGUGGCACGACAGCUUCGCGCUGGUGCCGUUCGGGAUCGGGCGGAGGAGCUGCCCCGGCGUGCACUUCGCGACGGCCGUGGUGGAGCUGCUGCUGGCCAACCUGCUCUUCUCCUUUGACUGGAGCGCGCCGCUCGGCAAGCUGGACGCUGAGGAGGAGAACGGGUUGACCGUGUACAGGAAGAACCCUCUCAUGCUGUUCGCGAAACCACGGCGAUGCGUGUAG